rnacentral:rRNA from 1 species
UAGGGAAUCUUCGGCAAUGGACGGAAGUCUGACCGAGCAACGCCGCGUGAGUGAAGAAGGUUUUCGGAUCGUAAAGCUCUGUUGUAAGAGAAGAACGAGUGUGAGAGUGGAAAGUUCACACUGUGACGGUAUCUUACCAGAAAGGGACGGCUAACUACGUGCCAGCAGCCGCGGUAAUACGUAGGUCCCGAGCGUUGUCCGGAUUUAUUGGGCGUAAAGCGAGCGCAGGCGGUUAGAUAAGUCUGAAGUUAAAGGCUGUGGCUUAACCAUAGUACGCUUUGGAAACUGUUUAACUUGAGUGCAAGAGGGGAGAGUGGAAUUCCAUGUGUAGCGGUGAAAUGCGUAGAUAUAUGGAGGAACACCGGUGGCGAAAGCGGCUCUCUGGCUUGUAACUGACGCUGAGGCUCGAAAGCGUGGGGAGCAAACAGGAUUAGAUACCCUGGUAGUCCACGCUGUAAACGAUGAGUGCUAGGUGUUAGACCCUUUCCGGGGUUUAGUGCCGUAGCUAACGCAUUAAGCACUCCGCCUGGGGAGUACGACCGCAAGGUUG